rnacentral:rRNA from 1 species
AUGAACGCUGGCGGCAGGCCUAACACAUGCAAGUCGAGCGGUAGAGAGAAGCUUGCUUCUCUUGAGAGCGGCGGACGGGUGAGUAAUGCCUAGGAAUCUGCCUGGUAGUGGGGGAUAACGUUCGGAAACGAACGCUAAUACCGCAUACGUCCUACGGGAGAAAGCAGGGGACCUUCGGGCCUUGCGCUAUCAGAUGAGCCUAGGUCGGAUUAGCUAGUUGGUGAGGUAAUGGCUCACCAAGGCGACGAUCCGUAACUGGUCUGAGAGGAUGAUCAGUCACACUGGAACUGAGACACGGUCCAGACUCCUACGGGAGGCAGCAGUGGGGAAUAUUGGACAAUGGGCGAAAGCCUGAUCCAGCCAUGCCGCGUGUGUGAAGAAGGUCUUCGGAUUGUAAAGCACUUUAAGUUGGGAGGAAGGGCAUUAACCUAAUACGUUAGUGUUUUGACGUUACCGACAGAAUAAGCACCGGCUAACUCUGUGCCAGCAGCCGCGGUAAUACAGAGGGUGCAAGCGUUAAUCGGAAUUACUGGGCGUAAAGCGCGCGUAGGUGGUUUGUUAAGUUGGAUGUGAAAUCCCCGGGCUCAACCUGGGAACUGCAUUCAAAACUGACUGACUAGAGUAUGGUAGAGGGUGGGUGGGAAUUUCCUGUGU